rnacentral:rRNA from 1 species
AGAGUUUGAUCCUGGCUCAGGAUGAACGCUAGCUACAGGCUUAACACAUGCAAGUCGAGGGGCAGCAUCAUCAAAGCUUGCUUUGAUGGAUGGCGACCGGCGCACGGGUGAGUAACACGUAUCCAACCUGCCGACAACACUGGGAUAGCCUUUCGAAAGAAAGAUUAAUACCGGAUGGCAUAGUCUUCCCGCAUGGGAUGAUUAUUAAAGAAUUUCGGUUGUCGAUGGGGAUGCGUUCCAUUAGGCAGUUGGCGGGGUAACGGCCCACCAAACCUACGAUGGAUAGGGGUUCUGAGAGGAAGGUCCCCCACAUUGGAACUGAGACACGGUCCAAACUCCUACGGGAGGCAGCAGUGAGGAAUAUUGGUCAAUGGACGAGAGUCUGAACCAGCCAAGUAGCGUGAAGGAUGACUGCCCUAUGGGUUGUAAACUUCUUUUAUACGGGAAUAAAGUGAGCCACGUGUGGCUUUUUGUAUGUACCGUAUGAAUAAGGAUCGGCUAACUCCGUGCCAGCAGCCGCGGUAAUACGGAGGAUCCGAGCGUUAUCCGGAUUUAUUGGGUUUAAAGGGAGCGUAGGCGGGUUGUUAAGUCAGUUGUGAAAGUUUGCGGCUCAACCGUAAAAUUGCAGUUGAUACUGGCGACCUUGAGUGCAACAGAGGUAGGCGGAAUUCGUGGUGUAGCGGUGAAAUGCUUAGAUAUCACGAAGAACUCCGAUUGCGAAGGCAGCUUACUGGAUUGUAACUGACGCUGAUGCUCGAAAGUGUGGGUAUCAAACAGGAUUAGAUACCCUGGUAGUCCACACAGUAAACGAUGAAUACUCGCUGUUGGCGAAUACAGUCAGCGUCAAGCGAAAGCAUUAAGUAUUCCACUGGGGAGUACGCCUGCAACGUGAACUCAAGGAUUGACGGGCGCCCCGACAACAUGAGUAACAAUGGGGUUUAUUCCGUACCGGGCUUAAUGCCCU